UGGAGGCAGCAGUGGGGAAUCUUGCGCAAUGGGCGAAAGCCUGACGCAGCAACGCCGCGUGCGGGAUGAAGGCCUUCGGGUUGUAAACCGCUUUCAGCAGGGACGAAACUGACUGUACCUGCAGAAGAAGCCCCGGCUAACUACGUGCCAGCAGCCGCGGUAAUACGUAGGGGGCAAGCGUUAUCCGGAUUUAUUGGGCGUAAAGAGCGCGUAGGCGGCUUGUUAAGUCAGAUGUGAAAACCGGGGGCUCAACCCGCGGCCUGCAUCUGAAACUGGCAGGCUUGAGUCUGGUAGAGGAAAGUGGAAUUCCUAGUGUAGCGGUGAAAUGCGCAGAUAUUAGGAGGAACACCAGUGGCGAAGGCGGCUUUCUGGGCCACGACUGACGCUGAGGCGCGAAAGCUAGGGGAGCAAACAGGAUUAGAUACCCCGGU
rnacentral:rRNA from 1 species